rnacentral:rRNA from 1 species
AUUGAACGCUGGCGGAAUGCUUUACACAUGCAAGUCGAGCGGCAGCGCGGGGGCAACCCUGGCGGCGAGCGGCGAACGGGUGAGUAACAUAUCGGAACGUACCCCGUCGUGGGGAUAACACAGCGAAAGCUGUGCUAAUACCGCAUACGACCUGAGGGUGAAAGCGGGGGAUCGCAAGACCUCGCGCGAUGGGAGCGGCCGAUAUCGGAUUAGCUUGUUGGUGAGGUAAAGGCUCAACCAAGGCGACGAUCUAUAGCUGGUCUGAGAGGAUGAUCAGCCACACUGGAACUGAGACACGGUCCAGACUCCUACGGGAGGCAGCAGUAGGGAUAUUCCGCAAUGGGCGAAAGCCUGAC